rnacentral:rRNA from 1 species
AUGACGCUGUCCGGCCGAACGAGCUCGACCGUGCGGCCCGAGCAGCUGAGCUGGGCGGCCACCCAGCCGGGGGAGGUGGGCGGUGCUGAGAGCACGACGUUGGCGACCGGGAACGCGAGGGCCCGGGCCAGGAGACGGACUCGCCGGAGAAGACGUUGCAGAGCGCGACGGCGCGGUCCCCGCCGAGGCCAUCGCGAGCCAGCCGCCGAUCUGCCCGCAGCACCGGCCGGCCGGGAGGGCGAAGGGAAGGAUCUCGCGGCGCCUGAGGCUGAAGAUGGCAAGUUCGCCGCCGGAUCCUGGGCGGCGGAGGAGGAGAAGUGGGGCCUCGAAGGGCGCCGGGAAUGGGGCCGGAGCGGCUCGCGCGCAGGAGCGCCACGAGGUACAGACGAGCCGGACGGCAACGCGGCCGAGCGGGUCGAGCGAGCGGAAGACCUUCUCCAGGAGCUCCGGUGGGAGGUCGGGCCAGGCGGAGGACUCCGUCUGCCGACGGCGAGGAUUGUACGGGAUGGAAGCCAUCACACCAACCACUGA